AGUCUGUGGCAGAAAGCCUAAAGGAGGAAAUGGGCUUUUUAGAGGGCUGCAGAAACUAGCACUGUGAACAGGGCUGCUAGGACUUGCAGGCCUGAGGCCCUGGGAAGAGGGUGAAGGAGCCAGAGGCAGGAGCUGAAGGUGCUGGGGCUGCGGGGAAGUGGGCCAGGAAAUUGAGACAGACUGGUGGUGAGAGAAAGGACGGGCAGCAGCAACCUGUUUACAGGGUCCCUGGGCUAAGACCCAGAGUAGUGGGCAGGUCUGCCCCGCCCCCCCUCACUUGCCGCUGAAGAAGCAGCCAGGCUAGGGACUGCCUAGCUGCUGUGAGGAGUGGCUAGACUGUUGUGGAGGAGUCCCCUGGAAGGGGGGAACCCGGAUAGUGACAUGGCCGAAGGUCUUGGCCAUGAAACAAAGGCAGUGCAACUGGAACUGCGAUGGAUCUGCAGGCAGAGACAAGGAUGGGAGAGCCACUGCCACCAGAAGACAUACCUGCUGACCAGAGCUAAUUCCUGAAACCAACAGCAGAAGGUGCCAGUGUGUUCCUAGAUCUCUGCUUGUGAAGCAGGAGGAGGUGCAGCUACAUGCUAACUUUCCUAUGCCAGCAAAGCAUUACCGUUUUGAGAGAGCUUCCGUUACACUAUUUUUUUCAACAAACUGUUAAAUUAUCUGUACUGUCUCUUUGUUACAAACCACAAAGAAAUGAAUAUAAUUCUCUUUGACUCUUAUUAAAAACUGAAGAAGGAUGAUGAUUUAUAAGUACUUGUACUGUAGCCCAACACACCACUUAUGUAAUUGCACUGUACAUGUUUCUUGUUUUGAUUAGGAGGUGACUAGGCACUGCUCAGAUUGUAGUACUUAGAGCAAUAAAUUGGGCAAGUGUUGACAUCUUGGAAAAAUAAAUCUGAUUGCUUUUUCUUG